rnacentral:rRNA from 1 species
GAUGAACGCUGGCGGCGUGCCUAAUACAUGCAAGUCGAGCGAACGGACCCUACUCUCGCUUCUCUCAUGUUAGCGGCGGACGGGUGAGUCACACGUGGUUAACCUUCCUCUACGACUUAGAUAUCUUCGACAAACCCUAGCUCAUACCGGGUACUAUUUUUAGCCUCAUGGUUCAAAAGUUAUAUACGUUCUUGCUGUCACUUCUAGCUAUAUCCGCGCUGCAUUAGCUAUUUGGUAAGGUAACGGCUUACCGAGGCAACGAUGCAUAGCCGACCUGGGAGGGUGAAGGGCGACACUGGAAGUGGGACGCGGUACAGACUCCUAGGGGAGGCAGAGGUAGGGAAUGGACGGAGAAGGGGGAAAGACUGAAGGAGGAACGCCGGGUGAGUGAUGAGGGGCUGCGGAUCGUAAAACGCUGUUAUGAGGGAAGAACAUAUGUGUAAGUAACGGAGCACAUCGUGACGGUACCUAGUCAGAAAGCCACGGCUAACUACGUG